rnacentral:rRNA from 1 species
UACGUAGGGGGCAAGCGUUGUCCGGAUUUAUUGGGCGUAAAGAGCUCGUAGGCGGUUCGGUAAGUCGGGUGUGAAACCUCCAGGCUCAACCUGGAGAGGCCACCUGAUACUGCUGUGACUCGAGUCCGGUAGGGGAGCGUGGAAUUCCUGGUGUAGCGGUGAAAUGCGCAGAUAUCAGGAGGAACACCAGCGGCGAAGGCGGCGCUCUGGGCCGGAACUGACGCUGAGGAGCGAAAGCGUGGGGAGCAAACAGG